UACGUAGGGUGCUAGCGUUAUCCGGAAUCACUGGGCGUAAAGCGUGCGUAGGCGGCUUGUUAAGUGAGAUGUGAAACCGUGUGGCUCAACCAUAUCGUUGCAUUUCAUACUGGCAGGCUAGAGGACGGCAGAGGCAAGUGGAAUUGGUAGUGUAGCAGUGAAAUGCGUAGAUAUUACCAGGAACACCAAUGGCGAAGGCAGCUCACUACCCAGAUAUUGACACUGAGGCACGAAAAGCGUGGGGGAUCAAACAGG
rnacentral:rRNA from 1 species